rnacentral:misc_RNA from 1 species
UUUCCGUAGGUGAACCUGCGGAAGGAUCAUUGUCGAUGCCUUAAAAUGGGUGACCCGAGAACAUGUUGAACAACGCAGAGUGCUUAUGACAACACAUGAUCUAAUGACAUGUGUCGAUUAACACUUUCGUGCACCUUAGGGUGCGCAGCUGAACAUAAUUGGCACGGGAUGUGCUAAGGAAAGCCGUUCAAAGGAACCUCCUCCUAAUGCAUGUUCAUAACAUGUCAGCAGCGGGGUACCAAACAUUAAACAUCUAAAUGACUCUCGACAACGGAUAUCUUGGCUCUUGCAUCGAUGAAGAACGCAGCGAAAUGCGAUACGUGGUGUGAAUUGCAGAAUCCCGUGAACCAUUGAAUUUUUGAACGCAAGUUGCGCCCAAUGCCAUUUUAUCGGUUGAGGGCAUGCCUGCCUGGGCGUCACGCACGGAACUCCGCCCCUAACAUCCCCCCCUGACAAAUAGGGGGUUCAGAUGGGUAAGUCGGUAUGGGGUGGGUUAUGGCCUCCCGUUUUUCGUUGCACGGUUGGUUGAAAUUCAGAGCCUCAGGUGACGUGUGGCGCGAUGAGUUACGGGUAGUGAACCCCCCAUGUGUCAUCCAUGGAGAAGCCUUGGUUGGCCCGAUGAGAAAAUCCCAUUCCGAUUCAGAACAUCGGGAGAUGGGAAGGGAAAAUUGUGCGACCUC